AUAUUUGUCUUGCAGGGUAGAUUCAAAUAUUAAGAAGGUGGUUUUUCUCUAGGGUGAGACUAAUUCAUUGCAAUCAUGAUGUGCUGUCUGCUGAAGUUCCCUCAAAUUCAAGAAAUCCAACUAUAUAAUUUGUGAUGGGUAACUGCUUUCAUGCUUUCCUCAU
ensembl:snRNA LOC120096828 U1 spliceosomal RNA